rnacentral:rRNA from 1 species
GAUGAACGCUGGCGGCGUGCCUAAUACAUGCAAGUCGAGCGAAUGGAUUAAGAGCUUGCUCUUAUGAAGUUAGCGGCGGACGGGUGAGUAACACGUGGGUAACCUGCCCAUAAGACUGAGAUAACUCCGGGAAACCGGGGCUAAUACCGGAUAACAUUUUGAACCGCAUGGUUCGAAAUUGAAAGGCGGCUUCGGCUGUCACUUAUGGAUGGACUCGCGUCGCAUUAGCUAGUUGGUGAGGUAACGGCUCACCAAGGCAACGAUGCGUAGCCGACCUGAGAGGGUGAUCGGCCACACUGGGAUUGAGACACGGCCCAGACUCCUACGGGAGGCAGCAGUAGGGAAUCUUCCGCAAUGGACGAAAGUCUGACGGAGCAACGCCGCGUGAGUGAUGAAGGCUUUCGGGUCGUAAAACUCUGUUGUUAGGGAAGAACAAGUGCUAGUUGAAUAAGCUGGCACCUUGACGGUACCUAACCAGAAAGCCACGGCUAACUACGUGCCAGCCGCCGCGGUAA